CGGCCCUUGUUGGCUUGAGGUGAUGGUGGCAGACGCAUGCCCAGCUCGCCUCUGUGGCGACUGGUACUUUUUCCAUCUCUGUCUGCACCGUGUGUCCGGACACGUCUCGGGGAUGCAUGGGUGGCCGACGCAUGCACAGCUCGCCUCUCUGGCGACGGGUUCAUGGUCGGUCUCUGUCCGCACCGUUUGUCCGAACGCGGCUCAGGGGUGCAUGGGUGGCAGGCGCGUUCGUGGACUCUUGAAGUGGCAGGAACCGGUUCUUCAGCGCUAAUCCAUAUUUGUCUGAGUUAGCUCAGCAAACUCACCCAUCGGCACUGUAUCCUGGAGGAGUCCUUUGCAUUUUUCUAAUGCUGCUAGGCUCGUUACAAAUAAAGUCACGGUCUGUCGCAGUUUGGUGCAGUCUGUGCAUUUUCAAGUCUCCGUGCCUGAGAUAUCCGAGUACAGAGGCAUGUUGGCGAUAGAAAAGUCCAAGGCUUUUGCUGCAGUCUGAUCCGGGAGUCAUAAAAAAGUGUAAUGUUGAAUCGAGCGAUGGAGGUCGACGGAAACAAACUAUAUAUUAAGUAUUAUCAUAAAAUAUAAUAAAAUAAAGUAGAUCUGAACGAUAAAUUAAGUUGUUUUUCCACUGCCUAGUGGAGCUUCGGGAAACAUGACCUCUCUCUCUGCUGCCUCUCAUCGCCACCAGGUAACGGUCCGACACAGCUUUUGGAGCUGCCUUGGUGGAACUCGGUAUCCAUGAUGUGAAGGAACUCUAGAUCCUCCAUGGAAGGUGCAAGUCUGUGAUCAUCGGCAGUAUGCGUGAAGAUGGAUUUGCCUAAGCCGUCUUUGGCGAACUUUGCUGAGCUGAUGUGAAGGAUGUCUCUACCCAGAAGGAGAAGUACCUAAGCAUCGGGAUCGAGAGGUGGUAUUUCAUCGGCAAUGCAUUUCAGGUGAGUAUGGUGGCAUGCUGCGCCCGGGGAGGGUAUCUCGGAUCUAUUUUCAAGAACUUGGUUGCGUUCGAUAAACGUAGCUAGAGGAAAGCUUCGUUUCUUGGACACUUACUCAAUAGUGUAACCAUAAGCUCUGCUCCCCGCUGUCUCUUUAAGCCCUGAACAUGUCUUGAGGGUGUAUACGUAGUAGCACCCAGAGAUCUUAAAGGCAUCGUAGAACUCUGACCGUGCAAGUGAGCGGUUACUUUGCUCAUCAAGUAUUGCGGUCAUUCUCUUGGACUCCUGUCUGGGUCCAGUGAGGUACACGGUUCUCACAAUUAAUCCUUUGCCACACACUUUUGUGCACCUCGAAGUGACCACCUGAGCCUCUGCUUUGUCCUCCUCGCUAUGCUCUGAAUCGGGAGGGGACGACUUGGACUUCCAUGUUGCUGGUUUGUUACCCUCUUUACUCAGGCUUGUCCACUGAAGAGACUUGGGACUUGUGCACGUAUACAGGCGCCUUCAUAGGCCUCUCCCAGUAGUAAUUUCUCCCUGUUGGAGCUUGUGUGAAGAGGUUAAAGCUUGGGUCUAUACAAGCUUUUGCUUCUUUGUGAAUGAAGUCUACAAACACAGAGAAAGGAUGGAAACUGACUAAGUGGUCACGUUUGUAUCAUGAUCCAAUGUAGAUCCACUUUUCCUGAAUGUUGUGUGGAAGUUUCUUGACUGUUUGACUCUUAUGAAAGGCCGGUGAAGUAGCUAUUUAGCUGCUUCCAGAUCAGACAACAGAUCUGCUAGAUCUCCAAGUCUCCUUGGGUCCUUUCUUAUGAUUUUGGGGAAGCUUUCCAGUUUACCAAAGAAGGCCUGUUCGACGACCCCGGUGAGCAAUAUAGCACGUCGAGCCGCUCCCAUCUCAUGGACAAUCCAGUGGGAGGAUGUCUGAUAUUGACUGAUUUAUUUAUUUGAAGCUUUCUGCAGACUCUCUUCCAAGAUAAUUGGUACGAAGGUCGAGCUGUUCUCCGUCAGACAGGUCCAGGUGGUCAAUAGCACUAUGGAACAACGUUUUCCAUGCCCAGUAGGUCAUCGGGUGUUCAUCAUAUACAUUAAGUUCCAAUUUCACGAGGCGGCUGCGGGCCAGAUAUUGAGCGAGGUCGUUGGAGGUUUGGGAGUGGUCACAUCUAUCUCAACAGGGUGCUCCAGUGACUGAAAUACAGGGGAUGGCAAAUGCUUAUGUAACACUUGUGUUGCUUAGAACUAGAAAAUGAUGCUACUGGGCCAGUCAUAGGUUUGUGGGGAGUGCUGAAAUCAAACAUAGAAAUUAAAGACUGGAGGAAGGGUUUAUAAUAAUAAAUCUGGCAGUUUGCUUAAAUAAGAAACUAUUAAAUAUUAAAUAGAUCAAUAAAUAGAUAGGAAAAUUAAAUUAAAUAAAUAAAUAUUUGCAAUAAAAAAUCUACAAUAAAUAUUCUAUAAACCCUUUUAAGAAUCCCUUUUCCUUUUGAAUGUGUUCAGGUGUUAAAUACUGCUAAAUAUUAAAUAUAUAACAUAUUAAAUUAAUGUUCUAUUGCAUAGAGUUUUUACAACUAUAUGUGUUCUUCUAAAUAAAUAUUAAAUAUGUUAUAUAAAUAUUAAAUAUAUUUAAUUAAAUA